rnacentral:rRNA from 1 species
CCUACGGGAGGCAGCAGUGGGGAAUAUUGGGCAAUGGGCGCAAGCCUGACCCAGCAACGCCGCGUGAAGGAAGAAGGCUUUCGGGUUGUACACUUCUUUUACGAGGGACGAGCAGAAGACGGUACCUCUUGAAUAAGCCACGGCUAACUACGUGCCAGCAGCCGCGGUAAUACGUAGGUGGCAAGCGUUGUCCGGAUUUACUGGGGGUAAAGGGCGGGUAGCCGGGCUGACAAUGCAGUUGUGAAAUCCCGGGGCUCAACCACGGAACUGCAUUUGAAACUGUCGGUCUUGAGUAUCGGAGAGGCAGGCGGAAUUCCUAGUGUAGCGGUGAAAUGCGUAGAUAUUAGGAGGAACACCAGUGGCGAAGGCAGCCUGCUGGACGACAACUGACGGUGAGGCGCGAAAGCGUGGGGAGCAAACAGGAUUAGAUACCCGAGUAGUC